AUAUCUUUAAAGUUUACUUUUAAUUUUAAAUGAUAUUAAAGGUAGAGAUUACCUGGACAGUCUUCCGGUGUAAAUGGAGAGUAUAUUGCAUAUACGUAUAAUACCUCCAAUGAAGGUAUUAUAUUGGGUGACAGAUUUUUAUUAAGUUGCAUAUAACGAUGCUAUGAAAAAGUAUGAAAUUGUGAAAUAAGCAAAAUAGGAUAAUAUGUUAUGUGUACCUCACAGUAUACAUUUAUAUACAGUGAUUCAAAGGUCAGGAUUGUUAGCAAUGUCUACAUUUUCAUCAAACAUUUAAAGG